rfam:Habropoda laboriosa contig5600, whole genome shotgun sequence.
ACCAGCGGCCGUAGCCGUGCAUGUCUGCCGGUUCCCCGUUCGAUCACCGAAGUCAAGAUGCACUGGGCGGCGUUCCGUAAGAAGAUGGGUGGCCGCUCCACAUCCGUCUCUGGAAAAGCCGUGCUGCUGGUU